AAUCAAUCAAAUUUUCACUUUUACCUAUAAUUUUUGACUUUUCGUCUUAUUAUUUUUUUUGCGAUUGAUAUUUUUGUUUUUAUUAGAUGAUAAAUCAUGAAUAGUAUUUUACGUGUGACUAAUUUUUUUCUAAUUUCCUGAAAAUAUUUCAAAUAAAACAGAUGGUCAAACGUUGGAUACGAAAACU
rnacentral:pre_miRNA from 1 species